AAACAUGGCAAAAAGUAUAAUAAGGAAGCAAUACAAAAGAAAUUUUGCGACCUAAAACGCCUUCACCCUGAACUUGUAAAGGAAUACAGUCAGCGAUUACGCCCAGGGCUUCCCGUUCCUUCUGUACGACCAAGAAGUUC